ensembl:lncRNA
UUCCCGCUGAAGUUUUGACUCUGUGCGCUACGUCACCUAUAACGUCACUCCUCUGUAAUUUAGUCUGAAAUUAUAGGUAGUUACGGAAAAAUACAUAGACGACGUGGGAAAUGAAAGUGCCGUGCCGGAGAGCCCUGCCACGCACCGGGGACUACAGUACUGCAACUGAGCUCUGGGAUGGAGAGACAGGCUGCUGCCGCGUGAUCCUGUUCAAAUGACCUGCUGGCCCCAAAAGAAGAAGAAGAAAAAAAAGAGCAAGAGAGAGAGAGAGAGAGAAGGAGAAAGACACACUUGGUCUCUCUCUCUUCCUCAGAGCUCCAGCCUGCCCAUGAGGAUUUCUUGUUAGCUCAGAUGGUGGAAUCCCUUCCCUUCCCUUCCCUUCCCUUCCCACAGACAGACAGACAGACACCUAAGAGUGGAGUGUAAGCGCUGGAUGCCCUCCAGCCCGCUGGGCAGCACUGGGAUGCGGCGGCUCUUCGCUGCGCGCUAACCUUGAUCAAUACCCCGUUAUGGAUCCCUCAAACCCCUGUGCUCCCUAGGCCUCUUUGCUUCAAUAUCACGGCUGUUUGAACAGAGUAGCCGGCGGCCGCGCACACACACACACGAAACGGGGCUCCAGCCGGCCCCCGACGAGCUCCCCCAGCCCCUGAAACACACACACACACACACACACACACACACACACACUCACACACACGGUGUGCACCCGACUCCCCGUGAAGGGCACAGUGCAGAGAGGAGAGAAAGUUGGAGGGCCCGCGGGCGGAGGACAGCCAUGUCGUCUACCUGUAUAGCUGUUCCGCUCACACACCGGCUCAUCAGGACCAUGAGAGGGAGGAGGGGAAAGUACAAAAACAAGAGGGGGAAAAAAAUGAAUCAACUACUUCUUGGACCUCUAACUAAAACAACACAACAAAUCAUAAAAUAAAAACUUUUUUUCGUUGUUGUUUUUUUAUUAUUAUUAUUAAUGUUGUUUUAUUUUGGGAUGCAUGGAGGGCAGAAGAAGGGAGGGAAG